AUAAAGAAUCAGAGACUUAACGUUUGAGUUAACAAAGGGCAUGCUGUUACGGUAAUAACUAAAAGGUCAAUGACGACGUCGAACGAUUCCUCUCUUUCUCUGGUCGAAUUAGGCUUCACGGAUUUGCAUUUUCCAACGAGCUUCAAUGCUGUGCAGGCAGCUUCAUUAUUUCCUUUUUGAAAGAUGAAUCAAGGAGGGAGGUCACUUGCGUGUUUGUGCUUUUAACUUUACAUGCUUUAUCAGUAAUUCUUGUAUUUUCAUUGUCAAUAGCAUUUAAUUGAUUUAAUUUACAUGUUGUAAUGAUCCACAUCAUGCUGGAAUUUACUUAUACACUAUUUUUACUGACGAAUUAUUUGAUUGUUCUAUUAUGAUGGAAGUUGUUUCAUUACCUGUGUUUCCAUCUGUUAAAUGAGUCCAUGUUUUGGUAAUAAAUUUCUGAUCCAUAGCUCUUAUAACAUAUGAACACGGACUGUCAUUCGAGUACUUUGCUUAUUGAAAUUCUACUUUUGAUCUUCAUUUUAGCUAUUCCAAAAAUUAUAAAAGAAGGUCAUAAGUCUAGUUUUUUUUUUGUGCAAAUUUUUUGAGUUUCUAGGAUACAGUUAGUGGGCUUAUGAUGAUCUAGAAAUUUUGAUUUACCAUUCUCAUUCAGCCAAAAACUUUUGAUUGUUCUGAAAUUGAAACUAAGAGUUAGACAACUGGUAACCAUGAAGUAGGUGUUUCAUAAGCCAUAGCAAGUCUGGAAAGCCAGAUUACUACAAAGAAAAAUUCAACAGUUGAAAUAUGAAAAUUCAUCAUACAAAAUUGAUUGUUCUUUUUCCUACUUUAUUUUAGAUAAUUAGGGAUUCUGUUUUGAUCAAGACAUUUUUCAUUCUAAUUGCUCGACAAUGACAUGAUAUAGUUAUAUUAUCAAACCUUAAUCAUGGGAUUAUCCCUUCACAAUGGGAUGAUGUUGGUUGAAAGAUGUGGCUAUAGUUGUAUAGAGUAUGAUAAAACGUGUCAUAUUUAAAUUAUUAAAACUUAACCGAGUGAUUUUUUGUUAACAAGGGGAUGAAGUCAGCUGAAAAAUGUGGCUAUACUGGUUGUAGGAGUCUGAUCAAUGAAGAAUUGUUGAACUGUCAGUAUCAUUCUUAUAAUGAUCUUCCUUACCAUUUAUUUCUAUGAUUUGUCUAAACAGGAGUUAGGCACUUUCUCGAUGAGGUGUUAUGACCAAUCAAUACAACCUUUCAGUGUAUUUCGUACACAUCAUUGGAAUUUCUGGUGAAAUAUGCAGGAAGAUAUUUUCCAUGACUCAAAGUGGUACGAUGCUCAUGGCUGUGGUUAAGAACAAAAGUUUAUCAGCAUCUUGAGUUUUAUCCUCCAGUUUUGUUAUCAUGUUAGUCUUAAGAAAAUUUAUCCAUAUUCAAUGUUACAGUUGUGAUAGAUGGUAAUGCUGAACAUAAUUUCAGUACGUGAUAAAAUGAAGCAAGCAGUAGGUGGCAUGUGCGUGUGAAUGAUUAUAAGGAUAAAAUUGUUUUAAUGGUAUGCCGAACUUAUAGUCUUGAUGUUGAUAGUUCCAUGUGAAUAUGUGUACAGCUGUAGCACUAUGAUUGACUAAUUAUUUAUUAAUAGGACCCAGUCUAAAAGAUCAUAGCAUGAUGUGCUAUGGUGUUAGUACUGGCCGCUGAUGGUUGUGAUACAUCUCAUGUUUUUGAUGUGGAUGACGCUGUUUAAGGGAUGAAGAUGGCAAUGCUUUUUCUUAUAUUGUACUGGAUACCAUGAGCAGAUGAUGAAAUAAGAUUCCGUAGUAACAUGUCUGUUUUGGGUAUAAAUCUGAACUUUCAUCAGUAUUACUUUCAGGUUCAUCCCCACUAGAGUAAAUGAUCUGUUCUUUGGUGAAAGGAACUUGUAUACCUAAGUUGUUGGUUAAAAUUAUUUUUGAGGCACAAUGGGAUAACAAGUACGAUUCGAUCUUCUGCUUUCAUGUGGUCCCUUGACAGGAAAUCUGGUUGGAAAAAUCCAGAUAAAACGUGGGCGCUAAGGACUUUGGGGCACUGGUUAGUGCAUUGCACUUGUUUCUUAGGCCAUUCCAACAAGAGUGCCCUCAUUCGUAAGCAGAUUCGGGCCUUAAGAAAAGAUCUGUCAUCAGGGCCACCGGAAAAGGCACCAUAGCUUCAAAGUUGAAAACAGUAUGGGUAGGCUUAUUGCACCCCAAAAAAUUAGAGGUAGGCCGGUCGUGACGUAAUUUAUGCUAUAGGGAGCCCUCUUUCACCAGACAAUCAGACAUGAACAAAGCUUUGUGCCUUGAACAGAGAAUGUGCCCUCCAGCCAAGGGC